UACGUAGGGUGCAAGCGUUGUCCGGAAUUAUUGGGCGUAAAGAGCUCGUAGGCGGUCUGUCGCGUCUGCUGUGAAAACUCGGGGCUUAACCCCGGGCCUGCAGUGGGUACGGGCAGACUAGAGUGCGGUAGGGGGAGACUGGAAUUCCUGGUGUAGCGGUGAAAUGCGCAGAUAUCAGGAGGAACACCGGUGGCGAAGGCGGGGUCUCUGGGGCCGAUACUGACGCUGAGGCGCGAAAGCUAGGGGAGCAAACCGG
rnacentral:rRNA from 1 species